UAAAACUGAAGUACAUUCCACACUAGGUAUAAGUGUGUGAGCUACGGAGUGCAUUCGUAGAGUCAAUACAGCGCUCGAGCUACACGAGUAUAGUUGUAUAUUGCUAAAUUUACCGACUGAAAAAUAAACAAGAUGCCUUGUGGCGGUUGCAAGGACGAUUGUAAGUGUACGUCGAGCCAGUGUUGCCAGUCGUGCAAGUGCGAUGCUAGUUGCAACUGCGCUUGCAAGCGGACCACUUGCACAUCGGGAGAUUCCUGUCCCACGCACACUACCAAGAAGUAGGAUGAGCAUGAAACUAUACAAAACUCACAAACAGUUAUGUAAACAUAUUUCAGUAUAAAAUAUAUUGCAUAAUAGUUA
rnacentral:lncRNA from 1 species